rnacentral:rRNA from 1 species
UACGUAGGGAGCGAGCGUUGUCCGGAUUCAUUGGGCGUAAAGAGCUCGUAGGCGGCUUGAUAAGUCGGAUGUGAAACCUCCAGGCUCAACCUGGAGUCGCCAUCCGAUACUGUCAUGGCUAGAGUCCGGUAGGGGCCCACGGAAUUCCUGGUGUAGCGGUGAAAUGCGCAGAUAUCAGGAGGAACACCGGUGGCGAAGGCGGUGGGCUGGGCCGGCACUGACGCUGAGGAGCGAAAGCGUGGGGAGCGAACAGG